GACGAACGCUGGCGGCGUGCUUAACACAUGCAAGUCGAACGCGCCUGUCCUCUGGGUUUCUGGGGGGUGGGUGAGUGGCGAACGGGUGAGUAACACGUGAGUAACCUGCCUCCUUCUUCGGGAUAACGGUCUGAAAGGGCUGCUAAUACCGGGUAUUCACUGGUCUCCGCAUGGGGUCUGGUGGAAAGGUUUUUUUCUGGUGGGGGAUGGGCUCGGGGCCUAUCAGCUUGUUGGUGGGGUGAUGGCCCACCAAGGCUUUGACGGGUAGCCGGCCUGAGAGGGUGAACGGGAACAUUGGGACGGAGCAGCGGCCCAGACUACUACGGGGGGGAGAAGUGGGGAAUAUUGGAGAAUGGGCGCAAGCCUGAUGCAGCGACGGCGCGUGAGGGAUGGGGGCCUUCGAGUCGUGAACCUCUUUCGGACGUGGUCAAGCCGCAACGUGGGUCGUGGUGAGGGUAGUGGGUAAAGAAGCGCCGGCUAACUACGUG
rnacentral:rRNA from 1 species